UACGUAGGUGGCAAGCGUUGUCCGGAUUUACUGGGCGUAAAGAGCGCGCAGGCGGUCGUUCAAGUCGCGUUUGAAAGCCCCCGGCUCAACUGGGGAGGGUCACGCGAUACUGAUCGACUCGAAGGCAGGAGAGGGUAGUGGAAUUCCCGGUGUAGUGGUGAAAUGCGUAGAUAUCGGGAGGAACACCAGUGGCGAAGGCGACUACCUGGCCUGUUUCUUGACGCUGAGGCGCGAAAGCUAGGGGAGCAAACGGG
rnacentral:rRNA from 1 species